rnacentral:rRNA from 1 species
GGAUAACAGGAGGAAACUCCUGCUAAUACCGCAUAGCCAUGAGCACCGCAUGGAGCUCAUGCCAAAUAUCCUUUCGGGGAUAGCGCAGGGAUGGACCUAUGGCGCAUUAGCUUGUUGGCGGGGCAACGGCCCACCAAGGCAACGAUGCGUAGCCGGCCUGAGAGGGCGGACGGCCACAUUGGGACUGAGACACGGCCCAGACUCCUACGGGAGGCAGCAGUAGGGAAUUUUCGGCAAUGGGGGAAACCCUGACCGAGCAACGCCGCGUGAGCGAAGAAGGCCUUCGGGUCGUAAAGCUCUGUUGUAAAGGAAGAACGGCGCAUACAGGAAAUGGUAUGCGAGUGACGGUACUUUACCAGAAAGCCACGGCUAACUACGUGCCAGCAGCCGCGGUAAUACGUAGGUGGCGAGCGUUAUCCGGAAUCAUUGGGCGUAAAGAGGGAGCAGGCGGCCGCAAGGGUCUGUGGUGAAAGACCGAAGCUAAACUUCGGUAAGCCAUGGAAACCGGGCGGCUAGAGUGCGGAAGAGGAUCGUGGAAUUCCAUGUGUAGCGGUGAAAUGCGUAGAUAUAUGGAGGAACACCAGUGGCGAAGGCGACGGUCUGGGCCGCAACUGACGCUCAUUCCCGAAAGCGUGGGGAGCAAAUAGGAUUAGAUACCCUAGUAGUCCACGCCGUAAACGAUGGUCACUAAGUGUCGGGGGUCAAACCCCGGUGCUGCAG